rnacentral:rRNA from 1 species
AUUUUGAUGGCGACCGGCGGACGGGUGCGUAACACGUAUGUAACCUACCUUUUUCUAGAAAAUAGCCUGAGGAAACUCGGAUUAAUGUUCUAUAAUACAGUAUUUUCGCAUGAAAAUAUUAUUAAAGCAGAAAUGCGGAAAAAGAUGGGCAUGCGCCCGAUUAGUUAGUUGGUGGGGUAAAAGCCUACCAAGACGAUGAUCGGUAGGGGGCCUGAGAGGGUGAUCCCCCACACUGGUACUGAGAUACGGACCAGACUCCUACGGGAGGCAGCAGUGAGGAAUAUUGGUCAAUGGAGGAAACUCUGAACCAGCCACGCCGCGUGCAGGAAGAAUGCCUUAUGGGUUGUAAACUGCUUUUGUUUAGGAAUAAAAAUUUCUACGUGAUAGAAAUUCUGAAGGUACUAGACGAAUAAGUGUCGGCAAACUCCGUGCCAGCAGCCGCGGUAAUACGGAGGACACAAGCGUUAUCCGGAUUUAUUGGGUUUAAAGAGUGCGUAGGCGGUUUAUUAAGUCAGUAGUGAAAUGUUACAGCUUAACUGUUAAAAUGGCUAAUGAUACUGAUAGACUUGAGUUAGAUUGGAGUAACUGGAAUGUGUGGUGUAGCGGUGAAAUGCAUAGAGAUCACACAGAACACCGAUCGCGAAAGCAGGUUACUAAAUUUAUACUGACGCUGAGGCACGAAAGCGUGGGGAGCAAACAGGAUUAGAUACCCUGGUAGUCCACGCCGUAAACGAUGAUCACUAGUCGUUGGAUUUUAUUAUUCAGUGGCUAAGCGAAAGUGAUAAGUGAUCCACCUGGGGAGUACGACCGCAAGGUUGAAACUCAAAGGAAUUGACGGGGGCCCGCACAAGCGGUGGAGCAUGUGGUUUAAUUCGAUGAUACGCGAGGAACCUUACCAAGGUUUAAAUGUACUACGAAUAAGCUAGAAAUAGUUUAGUCUUCGGACGGAGUACAAGAUGCUGCAUGGUUGUCGUCAGCUCGUGCCGUGAGGUGUUGGGUUAAGUCCCUCAACGAGCGCAACCCUCAUUGUUAGUUGCCAACGAAUAAUGUCGGGGACUCUAGCAAGACUGCCGACGUAAGUCGAGAGGAAGGUGGGGACGACGUCAAAUCAUCACGGCUCUUAUAUCUUGGGCUACACACGUGCUACAAUGGUCGGUACAAAGGGUUGCUA